rnacentral:tRNA from 1 species
GGGUUGCUAGCUCAAUGGUAGAGCAGCUGACUCUUAAUCAGUAGGUUCCCCGUUCGAGUCGGGGGCAGCCCACCA